GUGGACUUCAACUAAGCUGAGAGCUGCCUAAGCACACAGUUAAACACCCUUGGUGCUGGGUGAAGAAGGUCUGAUAUCCAGCUAGUGCAGUGAGCUCAUCUGGAUCAUGAUGCCUGACGAUCUCUACAGCUGGCAGAUGAGAAGCACGGCUCCUCUCAGCAGCAACCCUGCUAGGUCACAAGGACAUGUGAAGUAACACAGGGACUACUGGCAUGACUUCAGUAACUACUGUAAACCGGCUCCCUAUCAUGAGACACAGCAACUGGUCCGAAACAAUGCAUGCAGGAAAAGGAUAUCAUAUUCAACUGGAAUUACAAGACUUCAGAUUUAGAGGAAGAGAUUAGAGAGAGAGCCUACCAUUAAAUCAAUUCACAAUGUCAGCAUGAAUUUCUCCUGCCCUUGUAUGCACCUCACGGUACAUUCCCAGUG